rnacentral:rRNA from 1 species
GUCUACAGCCUUACCACCCUGAAUGCUCCCCAUCUCCUCUGAUCUCGGAAGCUAAGCAGGGAUGAGCCUGUUCAGUACUUGGGUGGGAGAGAUAACCUAUUCCUGUAUUGA